rnacentral:rRNA from 1 species
AUUGAACGCUGGCGGCAGGCCUAACACAUGCAAGUCGAGCGGUAGAGAGAAGCUUGCUUCUCUUGAGAGCGGCGGACGGGUGAGUAAUACCUAGGAAUCUGCCUGAUAGUGGGGGAUAACGUUCGGAAACGGACGCUAAUACCGCAUACGUCCUACGGGAGAAAGCAGGGGACCUUCGGGCCUUGCGCUAUAAGAUGAGCCUAGGUCGGAUUAGCUAGUUGGUGAGGUAAUGGCUCACCAAGGCUACGAUCCGUAACUGGUCUGAGAGGAUGAUCAGUCACACUGGAACUGAGACACGGUCCAGACUCCUACGGGAGGCAGCAGUGGGGAAUAUUGGACAAUGGGCGAAAGCCUGAUCCAGCCAUGCCGCGUGUGUGAAGAAGGUCUUCGGAUUGUAAAGCACUUAAGUUGGGAGGAAGGGGCAGUUAACCUAAUACGUUAGUGUCUUGACGUUACCGACAGAAUAAGCACGGCUAACUCUGUGCCAGCAG